GAUGAACGCUGGCGGCGUGCCUAAUACAUGCAAGUCGAGCGAACAGACGACGAUCUUGCUCCUCUGACGUUAGCGGCGGACGUGUGAGUAACACGUGGAUAACCUACCUAUAAGACUGGGAUAACUUCGGGAAGCCGGUGCUAAUACCGGAUAAUAUAUUGAACCGCAUGGUUCAAUAGUGAAAGCCGGUUUUGCUGUCACUUAUAGAUGGAUCCGCGCCGCAUUAGCUAGUUGGUAAGGUAACGGCUUACCAAGGCAACGAUGCGUAGCCGACCGGAGAGGGUGAUCGGCGACACUGGAGCUGAGCCGCGGCCCAGACUCCUACGGGAGGCAGCAGUAGGGAAUGUACGGCACUGGGCGGAAGCCUGACGGAGCAACGCCGCGUGAGUGAUGAAGGUCUGCGGAUCGUAAAACGCUGUUAUUGGGGAAGAACAAAUGUGGAAGUAACUAUGCACGUCGUGACGGUACCUAAUGAGAAAGCAACGGCUAACUACGUG
rnacentral:rRNA from 1 species